AACGCGUGGGAAUCUACCUAGUAGUGGAGGAUAACUCGGGGAAACUCGAGCUAAUACUGCAUACGCCCUACGGGGGAAAGCGGGGGAUCUUCGGACCUCGCGCUAUUGGAUGAGCCCGCGUUAGAUUAGCUUGUUGGUGAGGUAAUGGCUCACCAAGGCGACGAUCUAUAGCUGGUCUGAGAGGAUGAUCAGCCACAUUGGGACUGAGACACGGCCCAAACUCCUACGAGAGGCAGCAGUGGGGAAUAUUGCGCAAUGGGCGAAAGCCUGACGCAGCCAUGCCGCGUGUGUGAAGAAGGCCUUCGGGUUGUAAAGCACUUUCAAUAGGGAGGAAAGGUUGUAGCUUAAUACGUUGCAACUGUGACGUUACCUAUAGAAGAAGCACCGGCUAACUCCGUGCCAGCAGCCGCGGUAAUACGGAGGGUGCGAGCGUUAAUCGGAAUUACUGGGCGUAAAGCGCGCGUAGGCGGCUUCGUCAGUCAGAUGUGAAAGCCCCGGGCUCAACCUGGGAACUGCAUUUGAUACUGCGGAGCUAGAGUAUGGUAGAGGA
rnacentral:rRNA from 1 species